rnacentral:rRNA from 1 species
CCUACGGGUGGCAGCAGUAGGGAAUCUUCCACAAUGGGCGAAAGCCUGAUGGAGCAACGCCGCGUGGGUGAAGAAGGUCUUCGGAUCGUAAAACCCUGUUGUCAGAGAAGAAAGUGCGUGAGAGUAACUGUUCACGUAUCGACGGUAUCUAACCAGAAAGCCACGGCUAACUACGUGCCAGCAGCCGCGGUAAUACGUAGGUGGCAAGCGUUAUCCGGAUUUAUUGGGCGUAAAGGGAACGCAGGCGGUCUUUUAAGUCUGAUGUGAAAGCCUUGGGCUUAACCGGAGAAGUGCAUUGGAAACUGGCAGGCUUGAGUGCAGUAGAGGGGGGUGGAACUCCAUGUGUAGCGGUGAAAUGCGUAGAUAUCUGGAAGAAUACCAGUGGCGAAGGCGGCUCUCUGGACUGUGACUGACGCUGAGGUUCGAAAGCGUGGGUAGCAAACAGGAUUAGAUACCCUUGUAGUC